rnacentral:tRNA from 1 species
AUAUAAAUAAGCUAAUAAAGCUAUUAGGCUCAUACCCUAAUGAUAGAAAAAUUAAUUCUUUUAUAUA